GACGUAGGGCGCGAGCGUUGUCCGGAUUUAUUGGGCGUAAAGAGCUCGUAGGCGGCUCGUUGCGUCGGCUGUGAAACCCGCAGCUCAACUGUGGGCUUGCAGCUGAUACGGGCGGGCUGGGAUUCGGUAGGGGAGACUGGAAUUCCUGGUGUGAGCGGUGAAAUGCGCAGAUAUCAGGAGGAACAGCCGGUGGCGAAGGCGGGUCUCUGGGCCGAUAUCGACGCUGAGGAGCGAAAGCGUGGGAGCGAACAGG
rnacentral:rRNA from 1 species